GAGGAAGGUCCCCCACAUUGGUACUGAGACACGGACCAAACUCUUACGGGAGGCAGCAGUGAAGGAAUAUUGGUCAAUGGCCGAGAGGCUGAACCAGCCAAGUCGCGUGAGGGAUGAAGGUUCUAUGGAUCGUAAACCUCUUUUAUAAGGGAAUAAAGUGCGGGACGUGUCCCGUUUUGUAUGUACCUUAUGAAUAAGGAUCGGCUAACUCCGUGCCAGCAGCCGCGGUAAUACGGAGGAUCCGAGCGUUAUCCGGAUUUAUUGGGUUUAAAGGGUGCGUAGGCGGCCUUUUAAGUCAGCGGUGAAAGUCUGUGGCUCAACCAUAGAAUUGCCGUUGAAACUGGGGGGCUUGAGUAUGUUUGAGGCAGGCGGAAUGCGUGGUGUAGCGGUGAAAUGCAUAGAUAUCAAGCAGAACCCCGAUUGCGAAGGCAGCCUGCCAAGCCAUUACUGACGCUGAUGCCCGAAAGCGUGGGUAUCAAAAAAGGAUUAGAUACCCUGGUAGUCCACGCAGUAAACGAUGAUCACUAGCUGUUUGCGAUACACUGUAAGCGGCACAGCGAAAGCGUUAAGUGAUCCACCUGGGGAGUACGCCGGCAACGGUGAAACUCAAAGGAAUUGACGGGGGCCCGCACAAGCGGAGGAACAUGUGGUUUAAUUCGAUGAUACGCGAGGAACCUUACCCGGGUUUGAACGCAUUCGGACCGAGGUGGAAACACCUUUUCUAGCAAUAGCCGUUUGCGAGGUGCUGCAUGGUUGUCGUCAGCUCGUGCCGUGAGGUGUCGGCUCAAGUGCCAUAACGAGCGCAACCCUUGCCACUAGUUACUAACAGGUAAAGCUGAGGACUCUGGUGGGACUGCCAGCGUAAGCUGCGAGGAAGGCGGGGAUGACGUCAAAUCAGCACGGCCCUUACAUCCGGGGCGACACACGUGUUACAAUGGCGUGGACAAAGGGAGGCCACCUGGCGACAGGGAGCGAAUCCCCAAACCACGUCUCAGUUCGGAUCGGAGUCUGCAACCCGACUCCGUGAAGCUGGAUUCGCUAGUAAUCGCGCAUCAGCCAUGGCGCGGUGAAUACGUUCCCGGGCCUUGCA
rnacentral:rRNA from 1 species